rnacentral:rRNA from 1 species
CCUACGGGUGGCAGCAGUGAGGAAUAUUGGUCAAUGGACGAGAGUCUGAACCAGCCAAGUAGCGUGAAGGAUGACUGCCCUAUGGGUUGUAAACUUCUUUUAUAUGGGAAUAAAACGUUCCACGUGUGGGAUUUUGUAUGUACCAUAUGAAUAAGGAUCGGCUAACUCCGUGCCAGCAGCCGCGGUAAUACGGAUGAUCCGAGCGUUAUCCGGAUUUAUUGGGUUUAAAGGGAGCGUAGGUGGAUUGUUAAGUCAGUUGUGAAAGUUUGCGGCUCAACCGUAAAAUUGCAGUUGAAACUGGCAGUCUUGAGUACAGUAGAGGUGGGCGGAAUUCGUGGUGUAGCGGUGAAAUGCUUAGAUAUCACGAAGAACUCCGAUUGCGAAGGCAGUUCACUGGACUGCAACUGACACUGAGGCUCGAAAGUGUGGGUAUCAAACAGGAUUAGAUACCCCAGUAGUC